AGUGAACGCUGGCGGUAGGCCUAACACAUGCAAGUCGAACGGCAGCACAGUAAGAGCUUGCUCUUACGGGUGGCGAGUGGCGGACGGGUGAGGAAUACAUCGGAAUCUACUUUUUCGUGGGGGAUAACGUAGGGAAACUUACGCUAAUACCGCAUACGACCUACGGGUGAAAGCAGGGGAUCUUCGGACCUUGCGCGAUUGAAUGAGCCGAUGUCGGAUUAGCUAGUUGGCGGGGUAAAGGCCCACCAAGGCGACGAUCCGUAGCUGGUCUGAGAGGAUGAUCAGCCACACUGGAACUGAGACACGGUCCAGACUCCUACGGGAGGCAGCAGUGGGGAAUAUUGGACAAUGGGCGCAAGCCUGAUCCGGCCAUACCGAGUGGGUGAAGAAGGCCUUCGGGUUGUAAAGCCCUUUUGUUGGGAAAGAAAAGCAGCAGGUUAAUACCCCGCUGUUCUGACGGUACCCAAAGAAUAAGCACCGGCUAACUUCGUG
rnacentral:rRNA from 1 species